GCAUGAGUGCCAGAGGAUAUGGGUUGGUUUUAAGCAUCAAAUAUGGGUUUGUGCCCCUUGUGUG
rnacentral:tRNA from 1 species